AGGGUUUUUUAUUGAUCAAUCAGUAGAUAAGAACUGCUUUGGGUGAGGGGAAAGACAACACUCAAUACAAGGAAGGUCAGCCCAGUUGGACUGGACUAAAAGCAAAGAGGUUUCUGGGAUAAAAUGAAUGCUUCAAAGGUCAGCGGACCAGGGGCUGGGGUCUGGGGAACUUGGUUUGAGGGGACUUCUAAGUCAAUUGGCAAAAUAAUUCUAUUAUGAAAACAUUCUGCAUCCCACUUUGAAAUGUGGCGUCUGGGGUCCUAAAUGCUAACAAGCGGCCAUCUAAGAUACAUCAAUUGGUCUCAACCCGCCUGGAGCAAAGGAAAAUGAAGAACACCAAGGUCACACAACAACUAAGAACCCAAGAGACAGAAAGGGCCACAUGAACCAGAGACCUACAUCAUCCUGAGACCAGAAGAACUAGUUGGUGCCUGGCCACAAUCGAUGACUGCCCUGUCAGGGAGUACAACAGAGAACUCCUGAGGGAGCAGGAGAUCAGUGGGAUACAGACCCCAUAUUCUCAUAAAAAGACCAUACCUAAUGGUCUGACUGCGACUAGAGGAAUCCCGGUGGCAAUGCUCCCCAGACCUUCUGUUGGCACAGGACAGGAACCAUCACCGAAGACAACUCAUCAGACAUGAAAGGGACUGGUGAGCGGGGGGGAGAGAGAUGCUGAUGAAGAGAGAGCUAAUUAAAUCAGGUGGACACUGGAGAGUGUUUUGGCAACUCUUGACUGGAGGGGGGAUGGGAAGAUAGAGAGAGAGGGAAGACGGCAAAAUUGGCACGAAACGAGAGACUGAAAGGGCUGACUGAAUAGGGGGAGAGCAAGUGGGAGAAGGGAGUAAGAUACAUGUAAACUUACAUGUGACAGACUGAUUGGAAUUAUAAAUGUUCACUUGAAGCUUAAUAAAAUUUAAUUAAAAAAAAAAAAAAAGAAGAUGGAAGGAAUACACAGUCACUAUACCAAAAAGAACUGGUCAAUGUUCAACUAUUUCAAAAGUUUGCAUAUGAUCAGGAGCCAAUGGUACUGAAGGAAGAAGCCCAAGCAAGGCUGAAGACAUUGGCAAAAAAUAAGACUCCGGGAAUUGACGAAAUACCGGUUGAGAUGUUUUAGCAAACGGAUACAGCACUGAAAGUGCUCACUUGUCUAUGCCAAGAAAUUUGGAAGACAACUACCUGGCCAAUCGACUGGAAGAGACCCAUAUUUAUGCCUAUUCACAGGAAAGGUGAUCCAACUGAGUGUUGACAUUUUCAAAAUAUAUGGUUAAUAUCACACACAAGUAGAAUUUUGCUAAAGAUCAUUCAAAAGCAGCUACAGCUGUAUAUUGAUAGGGAACUGCCAGAACCGCAUCUUAAUUUAUGUACAGGAUUCUCUUGAGCACAAUUAAGUGUUCUGAAAUUUCCAUUCUUCACAAUGUUAUCCAUAAUUUGUUAUGAUCCACACAAUUGAAUGCCUUUGUAUAGCCACUAAAACACAGGUAAACAUAUUUCUGGUAUUGUCUGCUUUCAGCCAGGAUUCAUCUGACAUCAGCAAUGAAAUCCAUGGUUCCACGUUCUCUUCUGAACCUGGUUUGAAUUUCUGGCAGUUCCCUGUCAAUGUACUGCUGCAACUGCUUUUGAAUGAUCUUUAGCAAAAUUUUACUUGUGUAUGAUAUUAAUGAUGUUGUUUGAUAAUUUCUGUAUUUGGUUGGAACACCUUUCUUUGGAAUAGGCAUAAACAUGGAUCUCUUCCAGUCAGUUGGACAGGUAAGUGUCUUCCAAAUUUCUUGGCAUAGACGAGUGAGUGCUUCCAGCCAUGCUUCCAUUUGUUGAAACAUGUCAGUUGGCAUUCCAUCAGUUCCCGGAGCCUUGUUUUUCGUCAAUGUUGUCAGUGCAGCUUGGACUUCUUGCUUCAGUGCGAUCGGUUCUUGAUCAUAUGCUACCUCCUGAAAUGAUCGAAUGUCAACUAAUUCUUUUUGGUACAGGGAUUUUGUGUAUUCCUUGCAUCCAGUUUUGAUGCUUCCUGUACCAUUCAGUAUUUUGCCCACAGACUCCUUCACUAUUGCAACUUGAAACUUGAAUUUUUUCUUCAGUUCUUUCAGCUUGAGGAAUGCUGAGUGUGUUCUCUUUUGGUGUUCUAACUCCAGGUCUUUGCACAUGUCUUUAUAAUACUUUACUUUGUCUUCUCAAACUGCCCUUUAAAAUCUUCUGUUCAGCUCUUUUACUUCAUCAUUUCUUUUGUUUGCUUUAGCUACUCAAUGUUCAAAAGCAAAUUUCAGAGUCUCUUUCGACGUCCAUUUUGGUCUUUUCUUUCUUUCCUGUCUUUUUAAUGACCUUUUAUUUUCUUCAGGUAAGAUGUCCUUGAUGUCAUUCUACAACUCUUCUGGUCUUCAGUCAUUAGUGUUUAAUGUGUCAAAUCUAUUCUUGAGAUGGUCUCUAAAUUCAGGUGGUAUAUAUUCAAGGUCAUAUUUUGGCUCUUGUGUACUUGUUCUGAUUUUUUUCAGUUUCAACUUGAGGUCGCAUAUGAGCAAUUGAUGGUCCAUUCCGCAGUUGGCCCUGGCCUUGUUCUAACUGAUGAUGCCAAGCUUUUCUAUCAUCUCUUUCCACAGAUAUAGCCAUUUUAUUCUUGUGUAUUCCAUCUGGUGAGGUCUACGUGUGUAGUCGCCAUCAAUGUUGGUGAAAAAAGGUAUUUGGAAUGAAGAAGUUAUUGGUCUUGCCAAAUUCUAUCAUGCGAUCUCUGGCAUCAUUUCUGUCACCGAGGCCAUAUUUCCAACUACUGAUCCUUCUUUGUUUCCAGCGUUCACAUUCCAAUCACCAGUAAUUAUCAAUGCAUCCUAAUUGCAUGUUUGAUCAAUUUCAGACUGCCAAAGUUGGUAAAAAUCUUCAAUUUCUUCAUCUUUGGCCUUAGUGGUUGGUGUGUAAAUUUGAAUAAUAGCCGUAUUAAAUGGUCUUUCUUGUGGGUGAAUGGAUAUUAUCCUAUCACUGAUAGCAUGGUACUUCAGGAUAGAUUUGAAAGGUUCUUUCUGAUGAGAAUGUAAUGCCAUUCCUCUUCAUUCCCAGCAUAGUAGACCAUAUGAUUGUCUGAUUCAAAAUGGCCAAUACCAGUCCAUUUUAGCUCACUAAUACCUAGGAUAUUGAUCUUCAUGCGUUCCAUUUCAUUUUUGGUGAUUUCCAGAUUUCUUAGAUUCAUACUUUGUACAUUCCAUGUUCUGAUUUUUAGUGGAUAUUUCAUUCUCAUUUUGAGUUGUGUCACAUCAGCAAAUCAAGGUCCGGAAAGCUUGACUCCAUCAUGUCAUUAAGAUUGACUCUGUUGGAGGAGGUAGCUCUUCCCCAGUCACCUUUUGAGUGCCUUCCAACCUGAGAGGCUCAUCUUUCAACACUGUAUCAGACAAUAUUCAGCUGCUAUUCAUAAAGUUUUCACUGGCUAAUUUUUUCAGAAUUAGACUGUCAGGUCCUUCUUCCUAGUCUGUCUUAGUCUGGAAACUCAGCUGAAACCUGUCCACCAUGGGUGAUCCUGCUGCUAUUUGAAUACGGGUGGCGUAUCUUCUAGCAUCACCGUAAGGUACAAACCCCCACAGUAUGGCAAACUAACAGACACAUGGGGGUAAAGGGCAUUAGAGUAAAAUAAUCUGAUACAGCCAUUUCAAGAUAGUGAUGAUCUUAUGAAGGGGACAAGAGUACUCAGAUUCAUUGGCUACAGAACUCCACAUUUAUCUCCACACUUGGAAAAGCUGUGCAAAUGGGUCUGCAAUGCCAAGUCUCAGUGCCACAAGCCCCUCUCCACUGUGGGUAUUUAAACAGGAACAGUAGAGAUUUAUGUUUGUUUUCUUCUUUUUCUCUGUUUCCUUGGCUAUUCAAUCUCUCUUCUGACUGAAACAUUCUUCCUUUGGCCAUAUUAAAACACAAAGAGGCCACCCCUUGAGUCUUAAUAACCAGGGAGCUAGUGACUUGGUAUACCUAUGCAGUGUUUAGUUAGGAGAUUAACUAUCAAAAGUACAUCUACAGCAAAACACGUAAGCACUGCUAACAGCUACCUUCCUGAUCUAACAUUCAAUGAUUCCAAAGCCAGAGGUUUCUCCAGGCAGUGUAGAGAAGGGCAUGAAUUUUCUGGUGCCCAAAGCAUUAAACUUCAAUGCAGAGAGAUCCAACUCUAUGGAUUCUUGCAUAAGUUCUAUGAACCAUUCACCCAAGGGUUCUACUGUAUAAACACAGACACGCACACACAAAGUUAUUUUAUUUUUUGAGGUGAGUGGAUGCAUCACAUUGUCUUUUCAUGGAGGCAGAUAUUGGGAAGUGAGGCAGUUUGCCUUGGGAGUCUCCACAAUCUGUUUAGAAACAGCAGCACAAAAAUCCUCUGAUCAUCUCCCCCCUGCCAGCCUGAAAUGUCAGCCCUGUGGGAAGCUGAUAGGUGUUCCUGCUAUCAACAGAAGCAGCACCUCUACAUUCGUAUCUUUGAGAGUACUUUAUUCACUAUAUAUUCUAUGUAAACUGUGGGAUUUGACAAGGAGGAGUUGUCGAAGGCAUACUACUGGAAAGGAGCUGUGUUGGGUUGAAUUUGGUACCAAUCUCUCAUACUUGACAGCUCAAGUACAAGAUUGUCGAUGAGCUAUAGGACCUGUGAGCCUCCUCAGUCAGCAAGCGCAGGCUCUAAGUCACAUUUAAUUCAGAAAGCCCUGACAGCUCUGCAUAAACUUUGAGCCGGAAAAUGGAGAGAUAGGGGCUGUGCGCAAGAGUAGGCCAUUUAAGUUAUUUCCUUUUACUGGAAUUUUGGAAAAUAUGAACCAGGACAAUAUAGGCUAUGAUACACCACGCAGAUACCUGCAUCAACAACUUAAAGAAAAUAAUCUACACUUUAGGCCAGGGUGACAUGACUUUUAAUAGUUUAAAAACUAAAAGAAAAAUCCAUGAAGAACUGGAAGCUGCCUAGAAUUUUUCAUUAUUCAGCCUAGAUUAUACAUAUCUAUUGCUAUAUGUCUGUAUAAAUAAGACCACCCAAAAAAUGGAAAAAAAAAAAAAAAACAGGCUUGAAGUAGUUUGAUAUAGUGACUAGAAUCCUGGAUUUGACCAAUAUCUGAGUCUUGACUGAGACUUUCCAGCUGCCUGACAUACUGACCAAUGUAUCUAACUUCUAUAAACCCUAUAUUUAAUUCUAAAUUCCCUGUAUGGUGCAAAUGCUUAACGUGUUUGGCUACAGACCCAAAGGUUGGUGGUUUGAGUUCACCCAGAGGCACCUUGGAAGAAUGACCCAGUGAUCUGCUUCUGAAAAAUCAACCAUUGAAAAUCCUAUGUUACAUAGUUCUGUUCUGACACACAUGGGAUCUCCAUGACUCAGAAUCAACUCUGUGGCACUGGUUUUGGUUGUUUAAAUUCUAAAAUGGGAAAAUUAUCACUUUAUCUAUGUAUUGAUAAUCUGUUGCCACAAUAAUUGUGUGUAGCAAACUACCCCACAGCUCAGGGGCUUAGGACGAUAAACAUUUAUUUAGCAAAUGAUUCUGCAGGGUUUAGUUGAUCUUGGCUGAGUUUGUUUAUGUGUCUGCUGUAAGCUACAGGUUGGCCAGGCAGUUCUGCUGUGUAUGUGUCUGGGCUGUCUCACAUAUCUGGGAAUUGACUGGAGCUGGGCUGAUUCAGAAUGACCUCAACUAGAAUUACUGGAGCAAUUCAACUCUACUCUAUCUGUCUCGUCUUCCAUUAUAACCAAACCAAACCCACUGUUGUUGAUUCCGACUCAUAGAGACCCUAUAGGACAGAGUAGAACUAUUCCCAUAGGAUUUCCAAGGCUGUAAAUCUUUACAGAAGCAGACUGCCAUGUCUUUCUCCCACAGAGUGGCUGGUGAGUUCGACUCACCUUUUGGUUAGCAGUCAAGCACUUUAACCACUGCACCACCAGGGCUCCAUCCUCUAGUAUAGGGGUCAGCAAACUUGGCUUGUGGACCAAAUGCAGCCCAUGGUCUGUUUUAUAAAUAACAUCUUGUUGGAACACAGAUGCACUCAUUUGUUUACAUAUUUUUAUAUAUAAGUUAUUGUUUGUUGAAAAUAUACACAGCAAAAUGUACACCAGUUCAACAAUUUCUACAUGUACAAUUCAAUGACAUCGAUUACAUUCUUCAAGUUGUGCAACCAUUCUCAUCCUCCUUUUCCUAAGUAUUCACCCACUGUUGACAUAAACUCACUGCCCCCAAGCUUCCUAUCCAAACUUUCAAGUUGCUGUUGUCAAUUAGAUUCCAUAUAGAUAGUUCUUUAAAAGAGCACAAUGGUCAAGGCAGAUGUUCUUUACUCAUUAAGCUAAACUUGUUUGGUUUCAAGAAGACUUUGCUUACUUAGGGAAACGCUGGUGGUGUAGUGGUUAAGAGCUAUGGUUGCUAACCAAAAGGUCAGCAGUUUGAAUCUACUAGGCGCUCCUUGGAAACCCUGUGGGGUAGUUCUACUCCAUUCUUUAGGGUUACUAUGAGUUGGAAUUGACUUGAAAACAAUGGGUUUGGUUUUUUCCUGGUUUUUGUUUACUUUUGUCCUGCGUCUGCUUUGGCGAUACAAUAACAGAGUUGAGUAGGUGCAAUAGAGACCGCAUGGCCCACAAAACCAAAAAUAUUUACUAUCUGGUCUUUUUUAAAGAAAAUGUUUGUUGACUCUUGCUCCAGUGGAGUAGCCUGCAAGUGUUAUCAUGGCCAUAACAAAGGAGGGAGAAAGGAAGUGAAAAUGUGCAAGAGCCCUUUUAAGACUGCAUAUAUCAUAUCCACCAACAUGCCAUUGGCCAAAGCGAGUCACAUGAUUGACUUCAGAAUUCAAGUGCUGGGAAAUAUAUUCAAACUCAUCAGUGAGAGGAACUGCAUAGUCACAUGACACAUGGGUAUAGAUGCACCAGAGGUGUUAUGGAUUGAAUUGUGUCCUCCAAAAAUGUGUGCUGUAAAUCCUAAUACCUACAUCUGUGGUUAUAAUCUCAUUUGGGAGUAGGGCUUUCUUUGUUAUGUUAAUGAGACAGUAUUGGCAUAACUCCUGUCUUAAAUAAAUCUCUUCUGAGAUUUAAAAGAGCAGAUUAAGCAAGCAGCAAGGAAGCAGAGAUGGGGGAAGACAGAUGCCUUACGACAUGAGAUCUCCAAGAAACCAGAAACAGAAGCUGACAAGAGACAAAGACUUUCUGCCAGAGCCAAUAGAGAUAGAAAGCCUUAGUCUACAGCCAGCACCCUGAAUGUGAACUUUGGACCUCCUAAACUGUGAGAAAAUAAAUUUCUGUUUGUUAAAGCCACUCACCUGUGGUAUUUCUAUUACAGCAGCGCUAGAUAACUAAGGCAAAGAGGAGUGAAGAAUUUAGGCAGUUUAUGCAAUCAGUCUACCACAUCUGCCCAUCUCACGAUGCUGUUAUGAGGCUUAGUUCAUACACAUGUAAAAACAUUUUAUAAACUCUAAAGCAUUAUGCAAUUAAAAUGGCUUUUUUUCCUAACAUCUCAUACUUUUAUUAGGCUAAUGGUAUCUACGAUAUACUCAAUAUAACAAAGAUAGUUAUAACUAACUAAAAAAUGCAAUAUUGAGUGUGUAAACUUGGCCUUCUUCCUCUCCUUUGCAAUGUGCUGCCUUAGGGAGACAGAUGGGACAAGGAACAAAUAUUUGGAUAGCCUUAUCGCCUCUGUAAUCAAGUUGGUUCCCAGACUGUGCCCAGUCUGUUAUCUUGAAAUCAUCAUUUGCGCCCUGCCCUCAACCAAGUGUUUCAUCAAAAUUCAUCAAUUUCUGACUAUUGGAGUAUUGAAUGUAGACCAGAGAAUAUUACUAACACAAACAUGAAAUUUUUGUAUUAUUAUUUGCUGAAAUAACUGUGUAUUAUCUUUCUAUGUGUUGUAUUCAUCAAGAAAAAAAGCUGUGCUUGAUCCUUAUCUGAGAUUCCAAAAUAUCAAUUUGAAAACUAAUGGAAUGUAAUUUAUUUUUUUGUUUAUAACUCAUCUUUCAUGACAGCAUAGUUAGAGGUGAGAUCCAAGAAUUGGUUUAAUCACACUUGUGCCACUAAGUUGUUUGUCACUAACAAGUCACCUACUCUUGCUCUCUCCAUUUCUUCACAUUUAAAAUGAGGAGACUGAACUAAAAAAAUGUUUGAAAUACCCCCUGACUCUUUGUUCUAGAAGUAGGUGUUUGUCUACUUUUUUUUUUAAAGGAUAAAAUAUGAAAAGUAAAUGUGGGAAUAAUUAUAAUAGAAAGCUUAUAGCCUCUAUUAAUGAGGUCGAUGCUGAAUUUGUGAGUUAACUAGCAUUUGGUGGGUUUAAUAUCUUGCAAUAAUAGUCUUUAGAUUAAUUCUCUCUGAAUCACCAAUGUGAUGUCACUGAUACCAAUUUAAAAAAUUAAAGAUAUUGAGUUACUCCCAUUUUAGGUUUUCCUUCCAUUAGUUUUUCUUCAGACACUUGAAUAUGCUAUCACUUGAGUUGACCAUUCACUAAUACUGAUGAUUGAGAGUGGGAUAAACAAGUCGUAUGCCCAGAAGAAAAUGAGAUAGUGUUCCUUGGCAUUAUCCACUGUGGGUUUCCAGAACCUUGAGUCUAAGAGGUAGGUUCUACCUAGCCCAAAUGUCUAUACAUAAAAUAGCAGGAAAUGUUUCAUUUAUUUUCUUAUGCAAAAAAUAUUUACUGAGGGCUUUGUAUGUGCCAGGCACUGUUCUGGGUGCUUGUAUACGUUGAUGAAUAGACAGACCAAGAUCCCUGCUUGGUACAAUUUGCAUUCCAGUGGGGGAUUCUUUAACUUAGGGCUUAUAAAGAAAACAAAAGGAUGUAUUGAAAUAUCUGAACCUAUACUAUAAUGAGAACUAUCUAUGCAAGGGAUCAGAUCUAGCCCAUGGACCAAAUUUGGCCCACUGCCUGUUUUUAUGUGGUCUUAUAUAUUUUUAUAAGCUAAAAGUGGUUUUUACUGAUGAAUAUUUGCAAUUAAUAUGAUGAUUAAGAACACUAACUUUGAACCCCAAUUAAGAAAAAUGUUAUUGCCCCCCAAAAGAAUUUCAUUCUUCUUACUCAUAGACUUGUACUACACAAAAAUUGUACUCAAUUAUUGUUAUACUUUGCAUAUCAUCAAUGAAAAGAUAUGGGAACUUGUUUUCUCUUGUUUUAUGAAUACUUACACGAUAUACUCGAUUUUGCCUCUUGGGUCACAAAGUCUAAAAUAUUUACUAUCUGGCCCUUUACAGAAAAAAAUUACAAACCCAUAAUCCACAUAAUUGAAUCAAAAGGAUUCUGAAAUUUCUCUAGUUCCUUUUCAUUAGCUAGUAAGUGCCAGACCUUUAAUCAAUAUGACAAAGAAAACCGCUUAGUUUCAAUAUUGAUCUUUGUACAUUUGAAGUUAUGUAACAAUUUGGAAUUUUCUACUUUUGUUCCAAAUUAUUAUGUCCUAUAUAGUACGAGAAAGAGCCCUGGUGGUACAGUGGUUAAGCGCUCUGCUGCUAACCAUAAACGUUUGGGGGUUCCAGUUCUCCAUGUGCUCCUCAGGAGAAGAUGUGAUGACCUGCUUCUAUAAAGAGUACAACCCUGGGAACUCAUUGGGGCAGUUUUACCCUGUCCUAUAGGGUUCUUAUGGAGCCCUGGUGGGACAAUGGUUAAGAGCUUCACUGCUAACCAAAAGGGUCACCAUGAGUUGGAACCUACUCAAUGGAAAUGGGUAUAUGGCAUGGUUUAUGCAGAAAUAUUUGGUGAUUUCCUGCUCAAGGUUUACAACAUUGCUGACCAACACUGCUCUGAGUACUACGCUUUGAGUGGCCCCGGUCUAAACGCUAUCAUAAAGCUUAGUCUUACAUCCUUGAAUUAAGACUAAUGGCCUGUGAGGAACAGGAGAGGCUCAAGGCAGCUUUAGAAGACUUGACUGGAGACUCAUGCAUUAUGGAGAGGGCCACACUCUCUGCCCUUCUGGGCUCCUGCUUUGGGCUGGGCCUACACCUUCCUUGAGAUACUGCACUGACUUUCAGACGCAGGCUACUUUGAGCAGAAAACAGUCGGCAAUCCCGGAAGCAAUAGCGCUGGAGAGAGAACUAGAGGCCUUACGCUUCUGAAACUUCUUGGAGAAAUUCAGUGUAUCUUGUGAAGUGCCACUCUGCAUGUUUGAAGAGAAAUGUCGGUGGCAUAGGGAUGGUAAAUACCAUGAAAUUGGAUUCAUUUUAAUAAUUAGCCAUAGUGACACCUAGGUGAUGGAUAUUGUGAUGGCUUCCCCAGCAACCACCUCCAAUUACAGAAAUAGUGGGAGAGAAUUUUAGCUUCACAAGGUGAAAAGAAAUUGUUUAUUCGAUGCACCAAGAGUUUGUGUCCCAACGAUCAUUUAAGUCAGUUGGUUGUAAUGUAAGAGCACAAUUUGUCCAACAAACAGUGUUAAGAAUGGUGGUUAAGUUUCCUGUUGCCUCACAGAAAACCAUUUGAACCUGAUGGUAACUGAAUUAAAAUAAUUAAAUUAUAUUUUUAUCCUUUCUAUUAUUCUAUGGGUCAGGUCAAGUCAAGACUACAGAAAACAGCUGAAAUCAAACCUGUUGCUGUCAAAUUCAUUCCGGCUCAUAGCCACCCUAUAGGACAGAGUAGAACUGCCCCAUAGGGUUUCCAAGCUGGUGGAUUCAAACCGUUGAUGUUUUGGUUAGCAGCCAAGCUCCUAACCACUACACCACCAGGGCUCCAAACAUAGCUUACUCUGCUCCAAACUCUUGAAAUUCCAGUUCCAAAUAUUGGUGGAAGGAGUUUCCCCUUUCUUUCCAAGGGUCUCCAAUAAAGAAAUGGGAUUUCUCUGAACUUCCUUGCUCUGUUAGCAGCAACAAUAUGACAUGAGUCCAUAACAGUGCCCACCAGAGAAGCAGGGAUUCCAGAGGAAGGGUAAUGUGGAAGAAGGGUUUCAAUAGCUCUUUCUUUGAGGUGUGACGUAUUUGAAGAAUAAUCAGUGUGAUGGUUAAAGUUGUGUGUCAUCUUGGCUGGGCCAUGAUUCUCAGUGGUUUGGCAGUUAUGUAAUGAUUUAGUUGUCCUCAAUGAUGUGAUCUGAUGUGAUCAGCUGAUCAGUUGUUCAGGGGAGUUUCCUUGGGGUUGUAGCCUGCAUCCAAUACAUACUGACAUUCUGGUAAAGCCCAUUUCCUUGUUCAGGACCCUGCAUUCAGCUUGUCACCAUCUGACCUCUGGUUCUUGGGAUUUAAGCCAGCUGCCUGCCGUAUUGCCUGCCGAUCUUGGGAUUCGUCAGCCCUCACAUUCUGUGAGCCAGCAGCCUGCCAGCCUUGUAUUCAUCAGCCUCUACAGCCUGUGAGCCAGGGGGCUUCUGUCUGACUUUCAGAUCUUGGUUUGUCAGCCCCUGCAGCUACAUGAUGUCAGGAGAAGCCUCCAGCCUGAUGUCUGACACACGCACUUAGGACUUGCCAGCCUCUACAACCACAUGAGCCAUUUCCCUUUCUCUCUGUAUGUGUGUAUAUAUAUAUAACCCAUUGCCAUUGAUUCUGACUCAUAGUGAACCUAUAGGACAGAGUAGAAUUGCCCCUGAUAGAUUCAAACUGCUGAACUUACUGUAGCUCUUAACCACAAUACCACCAGGGUAUGUGUGUGUAUAUAUAUAUAGUUAGGUGCCGUGGAGUUGGUUCCGACUCAUAGCGACCCUAUGCACAACAGAACGAAACACUGCCCAGUCCUGAGGCAUCUUUACAAUCGUUGUUAUGCUUGAGCUCAUUGUUGCAGCCACCGUGUCAAUCCACCUCGUUGAGGGUCUUCCUCUUUUCCGCUGACCCUGUUCUCUGCCAAGCAUGAUUUUCUUCUCUAGGGACUCAUCCCUCCUGACAACAUGUCCAAAGUAUGUAAGACGCAGUCUCGCCAUUCUUGCUUCUAAGGAGCAUUCUGGCUGUGCUUCCUCCAAGACAGAUUUGUUCGUUCUUUUGGCAGUCCAUGGGAUAUUCAAUAUUCUUCGCCAACACCACAAUUCAAAGGUGUCAAUUCUUCUUUGGUCUUCCUUAUUCAUUGUCCAGCUUUCACAUGCAUAUGAUGUGAUUGAAAAUACCAUGGCUUGGGUCAGACGCACCUUAGUCCUCAGGGUGACAUCUGUGCUCUUCAACACUUUGAAGAGGUCCUUUGCAGCAGAUUUGCCCAAUGCAAUGUGUCUUUUGAUUUCUUGACUGCUGCUUCCAUGGCUGUUGACUGUGGAUCUGAGUAAAAUGAAAUCCUUGACACCUUCAAUCUAUUCUCCGUUUAUCAUGAUGUUGCUCAUUGGUCCAGUUGUGAGGAUCUUUGUUUUCUUUCUGUUGAGGUGUAAUCCAUACUGAAGGCUGUGGUCUUUGAUCUUCAUUAGUAAGUGCUUCAAGUCCUCUUCACUUACAGCAAGCAAGGUUGUGUCAUCUGCAUAACGCAGGUUGUUAAUGAGUCUUCCUCCAGUCCUGAUGCCCUGUUCUUCUUCAUAUAGUCCAGCUUCUCAUAUUAUUUGCUCAGCAUACAGAUGGAAUAGGUAUGGUGAAAGAAUACAACCCUGAUGCACACCUUUCCUGACUUUAAACCGAUCAGUAUCCCCUUGUUCUGUCCGAACAACUGCCUCUUGAUCUAUGUAAAGGUUCCUCAUGAGCACAAUUAAGUGUUCUGGAAUUCCCAUUCAAGCUUCACUGGUUUUGCUUCUCUGGAGAACCCAGCCUAAGACAGUCAGUGCUGGGGCUUUUGUGGUGAAAUCUUCCAGGAAGUGAGGUGUGAGAUCUCUCAGAAAGGGAGAAGUCUAAUGGUCAGUACCAGAAGCACUGGAUCAGGUGUUAUUAAGUGGAAGGGAUUAUCAAGAGUGGGGCAGGGCUGUACAAGUUAUAAAGGAAGAAGAGAAACAACUUCAUGUGAGAAGAGAAUUGAAGGACAAUGUAUACAGCUCCUCAGUCAAAUGAUUGAAAUUCCACAAGCCAGGACUCAUUUUUAUGUGUUCUAGACUUAGUGCCAGGUCCCUUUCUCAUCUAUACUCUCUGUUUAGAUGAUCUCAUAUGUGGCAAUGGAUUUGAUGACCACUUUUAUGAAGAUAACUUUUUCAGCCUAGAAAUCCUCUUUGAACUCCGUCCAUAUAAUGUAUAUAUUCAGUUUUGUACCUGACAUCUCUACUUGGAUGUCCCCAAAGAACUUCAAACCACUAGAAAGGAGAGGCAUGGAACAGUCCGUCUCUCAAAACUCUAAGAAGGAAUCAGCAUGGUCAAUACCCUGAUUUGAACUUCUAGCCUCCAGAAAUGUGAAACAAUAAAUUUCCGUUCUUCAAAGACACUCACUUUGUAGUAUUUUGAUACGGCAACCCUAGGAAACUAAGCCACCAGAGAUUUGUAAAUUUUUCUUUUUCAGUCUCUUGAGGAACCAACUUAUAUCUUUGUUGAUUCUCUUCAUUGCAUGUGUGUUUUCUAUCUUAAUAAUUUCUGUUGUGUGCGUCACUAUUUUCUUCCUUCUACUUCCUGUGGAUUUAUUUUGGAUUUUAUUUUCUGUAUAUAGUUUUUGGUUUAUUAUAAAUUAUUCUAAAAUUUUAGAUGAUGCUUGACUCAAUUUUUAUUGUUUUAAUUCUUUAAUAUAGAUAUAUAAGGCUAUAAUUUUUCCUAAGCAUAAAGCUUUAGCUAUGCUCUGUAAGUUUUGAUAUAGGAUUUUUGUUAUCAUUCAGUUAAAAUGUUCUAAGUUUUCAUUCUAAUGUCUUUCUUAGCUCAUAAAUUAUAUAAAAGUGUGCUUAUUAAAUACUAAAUGCAUGAGGUUAUCCUCUACCCUUUUCAUUCUUGUUGUUGUUAUUAUUAUUAUUUUAGUUUCUGGCUUAAGCGCAUUGAAUUCAGAGGCUAUGCCAUGCAUGAUUUUAAUGCUUCAGGAUUUGUUUAAACUUUUUUUUUAUGGCCUAUCAUAAACUUUUCAAAAUUUCCAUAUGUGUUUGAAAAGAAUGUGUAUUCUGCAAUUGUUGGGUAUGUUGUUCUAUGUAUGUCAAAAUUUGUUUUAAUUUUUCUGUAAAAUUUUUUUGUCUGCUUUUUAGAUAUCAAUUAUGAGAAAAUUGUAUUGAAAUUUCCCACUAGGAUUUUAGAGUUGUCCAUUUCUCUUUUUGGUUCUCUCAAUUUUGUGUCAUGUAUUUUGAGGCCAUGAUUUUAGGUGGAUGUAAAAUUAUAUGUACAAAUAUAUAUAUUUGGAUUGUAUCUUUUGUCCUUAUAACAUGACUUUAUUUCUCUCAAGCAAUUCUUUUGGGCUUCAAGUUGAUUUUGUGUGAUAUUAAUAUAGUUAGAUUUGUUUCCUUUUAGUUAAUGUUUGCAUGAUACAUUUUUUCCAAACUUUUCCUUUCAACUUGUCUGAGUCCUUAUGUGUUAGAGAUGUUUCUCAUAAAAAACAUUUAAUUAGAUUGUCUUUUAAAUUUCAAUAUGAUAGUCUUUGUCUCUUCACAGGAGCAUUUAGCUCAUUUCUAUUUAAUGUAACUGUUGAUAUACUUAUAUUUAUAAAUACCUUAUAUUUUUCAUCUUGUGUUAUUGAUCAUUUGUUUUUCUCUCUACCAGUUUGGAAGCUAUGCAUUCUGUUUAUAUAUAUAUUUUAUAUAUAUUUAUUCUGUAAAUUAUUACUGGCAUCCUUAACUGAUCAAAGGCAAAAUUUAGUGCCUACUUCUAACCUUUUCUGGAACAUUUUGAGGGCCAUAAAAAGUUUAACUCUAUUUCUCUACCUACUGUUAUGCUAUUGUCCUUGUUUAUUUUAAUUAUUAAAAAAAAAACAAAACUCCAGAGAUACCAUUAUUCUUUAUGCAGUUGUGGUGCCCUGAAUUACUUAAUAUAGUUCUUCUAGCCGUUGUCUUUGUGGCUCAUACACAAUGACUGAGGGAGACUAUGCAAAUAAGGUACAUGGAACCUGUGAUGAUUGGCUAAGCCAUGAUUCCCAAUAGUGUAUUGUUGUCCUCCAUUUUGUGUUUUGAUGUAGUUAUCCUCCAUUUUAUGUGUGGUAAAUUCUAACCUCUUUAUGUUAAUGAAGCAAGAUUAGUGUGGGGUGUAUCUUGAAUCACAACCUAGCAAGAGGGCAUGACUCAAAUCCCACCCUUACUCAAGUUAUACCCUGCCCUGGGGUGUGCCUGCAUACAAGGCAUAUAUGUGGGUGCUCUGGUGGGGCUCUCUCUCUCUGUACCUGGAUCCUGCGUCACUGUCUGAUCUCCAGUUCUUGGGACCUGAGCCAGCAGCCUGCCAUCUAACUUGCUGACUCUGGGAUUCACCAGCAUUUGCAGCGCUGUGGGCCAACAGCCUGUUGUCUGACCUGAUUCACCAUCUUCCACAGCCUGUGAGCCUGCAGUCUGUUGCCUGGCCUGCUGAUCUGGGUUCGCUGGCCCUGGUGGCCACAUGAACGAAGAGAAGCCUAUGUCUGACCCACAGAUUUGGGACUUGCCAGCCUCCACAACUGCAGGAGCCAUUUCCUUGACACAGUUUGUGAGUUCUGUGAGACAUUGUGGCAAAUAAAGGAACCCAAAGACAGAAGGGAGAGUGCUGAGGGGAGGAGGGGUAGUCAAGGUUAGAGAUGAUGGAACGGUACAGCAGUUUGGAAAAGCUGGGCAGGUGGGACAUCUUUAACCUCCGCCUCUUAGAAACCACAUUUGUGCUAAUCCUUAUAAAAGAAAUGAUUCAUUUAGCAGUCAAUUGUCUUCUUUUUUUUUUUUUGUCUUCUAGCUUUGCAUCCUUACAUACCACUUUAUUUUUCUUUAUUUAUUUGAGUAUCUCAGACUUUUCCAACUAGAAUUGCUUUCCUCUGGUUGGAGGUACAUACAACAGAAUUGCCUGUACUGGGGUAUGCUGGUGACAAACUCAGUUUUUUGUUUUUUUCAAAAGUGUCUUUAUUAUGUUCUCAUUCUUGAAAGGUCUUUUGAUAAAUAUAAAAUUAUUUCUUGGUAAUAUUUUUCUCUCAGCACAUUUCAACUAUCAUUCUACUGCCUUCUCUCUUCCAUUAAUGCUAUUGGGUUAAAGGCUAUCAGUCUGAAUAUUUCUCCUUUAAAGUUAAUCUUUGCCUCUGAUGGCUUUUACAAUCUUUUUUUAUUUUGCUGUUCUGCAGUUAUACUAUGAAUUUUUUGUCCAGCUUAGGAUUUAUUGAGAUUCUCAUAUUUGUGAUUUGGUUUAUCUUACAUUAGUUCUGGAAAUUUCUUAGGCAUUAUGUCAUCAAAUAUUGUUUUUGUUGCAUUCUGUCUUUUCACUACCCUGGACCUCUGAUUUAAUAUGUUUUAGAUCUUGUCAAUCUUUUUUCCGUAUGUCUUCACCUCUUUUUUAUAUUUUUUAACUCUUUGUAAAUCUGUGCAGCAUUCCAGAUAAUUUCUUUUGACCUAUCUCCAAAUCACAAAUUGUGUCUAAUCAAUU